rnacentral:rRNA from 1 species
UCCCUUUUGGGGGGUGGGUGUAGGUGUGUGGAUGGGUAGGGGAGCGUCCUGCACUGGGUGAAGCAGUCGCGUGAGCGGGUGUGGACGGUGUGGGAGUGAGAAUGCAGGCAUGAGUAGCGAAAGCAGAGUGAGAAACUCUGCCGCCGGAUGACCAAGGGUUCCUGGGCCAGGUUAUUCCGCCCAGGGUAAGUCGGGACCUAAGGCGAGGCCGACAGGCGUAGUCGAUGGACAACGGGUUGAUAUUCCCGUACCCGUGUGGAUGCGUCCCUGGCGAGGCUGGUGAUACUAACCGCCCGUGGUGCUGUCCUGCUUUCGGGUGGGGUGGUGGCCAUGCGCGGGAUCUGAGCUGGUAGUAGCCAAGUGAUGGGGUGACGCAGGAGGGUAGCCCCGCCAGUGAGUGGUAGUACUGGUGUAAGCGUGUAGCCAGGAGAGGUAGGCAAAUCCGCUUCUCUGUUAAUGGUGAGACGUGAUGCAUAGCCGAAUGAGGCGAAGUAGGGUGAUCCCAUGCUGCCGAGAAAAGCCUCUAGCGAGUGUCUACGCGGCCCGUACCCCAAACCGACACAGGUGGUCAGGUAGAGAAUACCAAGGCGAUCGGGUGAACUGUGGUUAAGGAACUCGGCAAAAUGCCCCCGUAACUUCGGGAGAAGGGGGGCCGUGUGGCGUGAAGCCCUUCGCGGGCUAGCGUUGUGUGGCCGCAGAGACCAGGGAGAAGCGACUGUUUAUUAAAAACACAGGUCCGUGCGAAGUCGUAAGACGAUGUAUACGGACUGACGCCUGCCCGGUGCUGGAACGUUAAGGGGACCGGUUAGUCCUUCGGGGCGAAGCUGAGAACUUAAGCGCCAGUAAACGGCGGUGGUAACUAUAACCAUCCUAAGGUAGCGAAAUUCCUUGUCGGGUAAGUUCCGACCUGCACGAAUGGCGUAACGACUUCUCCGCUGUCUCAACCACAGGCCCGGCGAAAUUGCACUACGAGUAAAGAUGCUCGUUACGCGCGGCAGGACGGAAAGACCCCGGGACCUUUACUAUAGCUUGGUAUUGGUGCUCGGUUCGGCUUGUGUAGGAUAGGUGGGAGACUGGGAAGCGGUCACGCUAGUGGUCGUGGAGUCAAUCUUGAAAUACCACUCUGGUCGUACUGGGUGUCUAACCUCGGACCAUGAUCUGGUUCAGGGACAGUGCCUGGUGGGUAGUUUAACUGGGGCGGUUGCCUCCCAAAGGGUAACGGAGGCGCCCAAAGGUUCCCUCAGCCUGGUUGGCAAUCAGGUGUUGAGUGUAAGUGCACAAGGGAGCUUGACUGUGAGACUGACGGGUCGAGCAGGGACGAAAGUCGGGACUAGUGAUCCGGCACUGGCUGGUGGAAGCGGUGUCGCUCAACGGAUAAAAGGUACCCCGGGGAUAACAGGCUGAUCUUGCCCAAGAGUCCAUAUCGACGGCAUGGUUUGGCACCUCGAUGUCGGCUCGUCGCAUCCUGGGGCUGGAGUAGGUCCCAAGGGUUGGGCUGUUCGCCCAUUAAAGCGGCACGCGAGCUGGGUUUAGAACGUCGUGAGACAGUUCGGUCCCUAUCCGCCGCGCGCGUUGGAGACUUGUGGAAGGCUGUCCCUAGUACGAGAGGACCGGGACGGACGAACCUCUGGUGUGCCAGUUGUACCGCCAGGUGCAUGGCUGGUUGGCUACGUUCGGAAGGGAUAACCGCUGAAAGCAUCUAAGCGGGAAGCCUGUUCCAAGAUGAGGUCUCCCACCCACUUUGUUGGGGUAAGGCCCCCAGUAGACGACUGGGUUGAUAGGCUGGAGAUGGAAGCACGGUAACGUGUGGAGUUGACCGGUACUAAUAGGCCGAGGGCUUGUCUA